rnacentral:rRNA from 1 species
AACGAACGCUGGCGGCAGGCUUAACACAUGCACGUCGAACGGUCUCUUCGGAGGCAGUGGCAGACGGGUGAGUAACGCGUGGGAAUCUACCCAGAUCUACGGAACAACAGUUGGAAACGACUGCUAAUACCGUAUACGCCCUACGGGGGAAAGAUUUAUCGGAUUUGGAGGAGCCCGCGUAAGAUUAGCUAGUUGGUGAGGUAAUGGCUCACCAAGGCGACGAUCUUUAGCUGGGCUGAGAGGAUGAUCAGCCACACUGGGACUGAGACACGGCCCAGACUCCUACGGGAGGCAGCAGUGGGGAAUAUUGGACAAUGGGCGCAAGCCUGAUCCAGCCAUGCCGCGUGAGUGAUGAAGGCCUUAGGGUUGUAAAGCUCUUUCAGUGGGGAAGAUAAUGACGGUACCCACAGAAGAAGCCCCGGCUAACUUCGUGCCAGCCGCCGCCGUAAAAC